AGUUCGGAUUGUAGUCUGCAACCCGACUACAUGAAGCUGGAAUCGCUAGUAAUCGCGGAUCAGAAUGCCGCGGUGAAUACGUUCCCGGGUCUUGUACACACCGCCCGUCACACCAUGGGAGUCGGAAAUGCCCGAAGUCGGUGACCUAACUGAAAGGAAGGAGCCGCCGAAGGCAGGUCUGGUGACUGGGGUGAAGUCGUAACAAGGUACC
rnacentral:rRNA from 1 species